GCAGAAGCCACAGCAGAGGCCUGACCUGGCUGUUGAUGUUCUAGAGAGGACAGCAGACAAGGCCACAGUCAAUGGACUUCCUGAGAAGGACAGAGAGACGGACACCUCGGCCCUGGCUGCAGGGAGUUCCCAGGAGGUGACGUAUGCUCAGCUGGACCACUGGGCCCUCACACAGAGGACAGCCCGGGCUGUGUCCCCACAGUCCACAAAGCCCAUGGCCGAGUCCAUCACGUAUGCAGCCGUUGCCAGACACUGACCCCAUACCCACCUGGCCUCUGCACCUGAGGGUAGAAAGUCACUCUAGGAAAAGCCUGAAGCAGCCAUUUGGAAGGCUUCCUGUUGGAUUCCUCUUCAUCUAGAAAGCCAGCCAGGCAGCUGUCCUGGAGACAAGAGCUGGAGACUGGAGGUUUCUAACCAGCAUCCAGAAGGUUCGUUAGCCAGGUGGUCCCUUCUACAAUCGAGCAGCUCCUUGGACAGACUGUUUCUCAGUUAUUUCCAGAGACCCAGCUACAGUUCCCUGGCUGUUUCUAGAGACCCAGCUUUAUUCACCUGACUGUUUCCAGAGACCCAGCUAAAGUCACCUGCCUGUUCUAAAGGCCCAGCUACAGCCAAUCAGCCGAUUUCCUGAGCAGUGAUGCCACCUCCAAGCUUGUCCUAGGUGUCUGCUGUGAACCUCCAGUGACCCCAGAGACUUUGCUGUAAUUAUCUGCCCUGCUGACCCUAAAGACCUUCCUAGAAGUCAAGAGCUAGCCUUGAGACUGUGCUAUACACACACAGCUGAGAGCCAAGCCCAGUUCUCUGGGUUGUGCUUUACUCCACGCAUCAAUAAAUAAUUUUGAAGGCCUCACA
rnacentral:lncRNA from 10 species